rnacentral:rRNA from 1 species
AGAGUUUGAUUAUGGCUCAGAACGAACGCUGGCGGCAGGCCUAACACAUGCAAGUCGAGCGCGCCUUCGGGCGAGCGGCGGACGGGUUAGUAACGCGUGGGAACGUGCCCAGAUCUACGGAAUAGCCACUGGAAACGGUGAGUAAUACCGUAUACGCCCUUCGGGGGAAAGAUUUAUCGGAUUUGGAUCGGCCCGCGUUAGAUUAGGUAGUUGGUGGGGUAACGGCCUACCAAGCCUACGAUCUAUAGCUGGUUUUAGAGGAUGAUCAGCAACACUGGGACUGAGACACGGCCCAGACUCCUACGGGAGGCAGCAGUGGGGAAUCUUGGACAAUGGGGGCAACCCUGAUCCAGCCAUGCCGCGUGAGUGAAGAAGGCCCUAGGGUCGUAAAACUCUUUCGCCUGUGAUGAUAAUGACAGUAGCAGGUAAAGAAACCCCGGCUAACUCCGUGCCAGCAGCCGCGGUAAUACGGAGGGGGUUAGCGUUGUUCGGAAUUACUGGGCGUAAAGCGCACGUAGGCGGAUUAGAAAGUUAGAGGUGAAAUCCCGGGGCUCAACCCCGGAACUGCCUUUAAAACUACUAGUCUAGAGUUCGAGAGAGGUGAGUGGAAUUCCGAGUGUAGAGGUGAAAUUCGUAGAUAUUCGGAGGAACACCAGUGGCGAAGGCGGCUCACUGGCUCGAUACUGACGCUGAGGUGCGAAAGUGUGGGGAGCAAACAGGAUUAGAUACCCUGGUAGUCCACACCGUAAACGAUGAAUGCCAGUCGUCGGGUAGUAUACUAUUCGGUGACACACCUAACGGAUUAAGCAUUCCGCCUGGGGAGUACGGUCGCAAGAUUAAAACUCAAAUGAAUUGACGGGG